rnacentral:tRNA from 1 species
GUCUCCGUAGUUAAAUGGAUAUAACAGGGACCUCCUAAGUCUCAAUUGUGAGUUCGAUUCUCGCCGGGGACG